rnacentral:piRNA from 1 species
UUUCGGAGUCCGUUUUUGUGCA